rnacentral:rRNA from 1 species
UACGUAGGGUGCGAGCGUUAAUCGGAAUUACUGGGCGUAAAGCGUGCGCAGGCGGUUUUGUAAGUCAGAUGUGAAAUCCCCGGGCUCAACCUGGGAACUGCGUUUGAAACUACAAGGCUAGAGUGUAGCAGAGGGGGGUAGAAUUCCACGUGUAGCAGUGAAAUGCGUAGAGAUGUGGAGGAAUACCAAUGGCGAAGGCAGCCCCCUGGGUUAACACUGACGCUCAUGCACGAAAGCGUGGGGAGCAAACAGGAUUAGAUACCCUGGUAGUCCACGCCCUAAACGAUGUCUACUAGUUGUUGGUGGAGUAAAAUCCAUUAGUAACGCAGCUAACGCGUGAAGUAGACCGCCUGGGGAGUACGGUCGCAAGAUUAAA